UGGACUAUUUUUCUUUUAGUUGCAAUGAACGUUAACUCCAGGUGUGCCACACAGCAGAUGACAGGAAAGGGGGGCAAUGAGAGACAGAAGCCAUGGCUGCCUCAUCUCCUUUUGCGUCAGGCAACUUAAAGUCUGACUGACAGACUGGAUGCAGAGCUGCUUGGAAGAUACCUGCACAGCCUGUCAAACAUCUUUCCAAACUUGUCAUUCCAGCCGAGUGCUUGUGCAAAGCAUCCAACAUCACCCACUUAUAAUCUUAGAUUUCACUUCAGAGCCGACUGCCAGGAUAUAGGUGCAUGAGUGUGUGCAAGCUCUGACCUUAUGCCAUAUGAACCCAUAAUGAAUGAAAAAUGUGCUUGCAUUGCCUCUUCGUGCCAUAUCCCCCAAUAUAAAAGGAAUUUGAAAGCUAA